rnacentral:tRNA from 1 species
UCCGGGGUAGCUCAGUUGGCAGAGCACCGGCCUGUUAAGCCGAUUGUCGCGGGUUCGAGCCCCGCCCCCGGAGCCA